ensembl:lncRNA
CACACACACACACUGUAAGUUCUCUAAUACUAUAAUAAACAGUACAUAUUUUUUCAUUUUGUAAAAUAAUAAUAUUUAUAUUACAUUAAAUAUAAUUUUUCAAAAUAAUUAUAAUAGUAACUUACGUAGUAAAAACAUGUUCCUAGUAGUUUUCUAAUGAUAUAUAAAAUGGUAUUUCUUUACAUUCAUACUGCUAUUUAUAGUACUUCUUUUUUGUUAUAAAUAAUUCACUCAUUUAUUUAUUUUUAAUUAUAGAGUGCUUUUUUUUUUUUUUUUUUUUUAUAAGUAUGUUGUGGUAAGUGCUUUUUUUUUUUUUUUUUUUUUUUAAUACUAACUUUUUAUACCAUUAUUUCAAGAUUUAAAAAUGUAUCUGUUUUAUUGCUUAUUAUCGAAAAUAUUUUGAUUAGAUCACUAUACAAUUUAUAUCAUUAAAAACAUGUAUUAGUUGAAAUCUAACUAAAAAAAUAUAUAUCAAUAUGGUAUAGUAAAUAUAUUUAUAUAAAUUUUCUACAUGUAACGCAUAAAAUUAUUGGAAAGUAUUCAAUAACAUCAUUAUUACAUAGUAAGUGUGUAAAAAAAAUGUUUACCGGAAUUUUUAAAAUAUUUAUUAUUGCCUUUUUUAUAUGGGAAUGGACUAAUAACAGCAAAGCACAAAUAGGAAACAUAUUAAACAAAAAGUGUUAUAGAUUAUUGGCUCAUUAUGAUACCUCUAUAGACGAAUCAUAUUAUCAUACUCUUAUGAAUGAUUAUAAAAAACCAUAUGUAAGUAGUAAAAAUUCCAAUAUUAAUGAAAAUCAAAGCAAUGAAAAAGCAGCUCAAAGUGAAAACUAUAACCAAAAUAAAUCAAAAUAUUUUACUGAUUUUAAAAAAGAAUUAAUUAAAAUAUUAACUAGCAUUAAAAAUCCAAAAAUGAAGCAAAUAUUCUCAGAAAAUGAGAAAAUACUGGAAAAAGAUUUACUAGAAAUAUAUGAACUUAUUAAACAUGUCAUCCCUAAAGACAAAUAUUUACAAAUGAUAAAUAGAAGCUGUGAAUUAGCAAAACAAAAACACCUUUAUAACAUUGAAGAUGCUGAAGCAUAUUACAACUCAAUAUUACAUUUAUUGCGCACAUACUUUUUUCUUACUAGAGGUAAAAAAGAUUUAGGAUUUAAAAACAAUAUAUUUAAAGCGGUUUAUUUGAAUCUAUCUAAAUUCGUCAAUAUAAUCGAUAAAUACUUUAAGACUAAGUUACUUAAACUAAUGAUAAACCAAGAAAUAAAUCCAAAGGAAAAAUUAUCAUAUAAAGAAGGUUUUAUAUUAUUUAGUUUAGCAUGGUUUUAUCCAAUAUUAUUAUUUGUGAUUUCAAUUUUUGUUAUACCUUUAUGGUCAGUUGGUCUUACAUUUUCAUUAUUAGGUGUAUACAUGUUCUUAGCCAUACACUCUAAUUAUAAAAUCGUUAGAGACGCACGUUUUAUAAACCAAAUUAAGCAAAGAUCAGUACUAUUAAACAGGGAAUAUUUUACUUAACAAUAUGUACCAUAAACAAAAUAAAAUACGAUAAAAUAUUUACA